UCCUUUCAGCACCAGAAGCCGUACCCUCGCCGGUGGCGAUGCAGGAGCGGACGCCGGCAAGCAGCUCUGCUCCAUCCUUCCCUCGCACACACGGCCGCUUUCUCCUUCUUUGUCAUACGCAACGGCAGCCCAGCACGCAAUGCUACCGUACGGCGCUCUGUGGAAGCUGGACGAGAUGCUGCACGCGGCUGCGCCGCCGCCGCGUCGCACGGCCGCGGUGCGUCGCCGUCAGGCGCUCUUCUACUUCUUCUGGGGAAUUUCUCUUGUGUCGGUUUUCCUGGUUCCCUUUCAUUACGCCUCGCUGCGACGCCUGCGUAUCGACAGCGAGCGCGAGCUGCUCGGACUGGUGGCACCGACGGUGGAUCUCACACAGCUCCACAUGCGCCAGGACCAGGCGUUGCAGCGCCUUAGGGCGUGGAGUACAGCGCGCUGGGUCGACAAGCACCCCGAGAGGUGCGAGGACGACAACGUCGGUGACGCUGACGUCACGGCCGACUUCGCGCUGGCGUUCUACCUGCAUCCGUUGUCACGCACGCGCCUCGACGGCGUCUUUGCGCACCCAUACGUCCGAGCGGUUGCGGGGGGUGGCGUUGGAGUGCUGUGGCCACGCCUCGGCGACGCGGCAGAGGCACGCGACGCGCUGCAGCACGUGCCGCGUGCUCGCACACUGAGUGAGGUGGCGGUGGAUGCUGCGAAAGACCCAUCGAAUCCGGCAAAAUGUUUGAUUGCUCUACGGCGCGAUCUCCUGCAGGCAGGUGCCGAGGGCAUCAACUACGAAGAAGAAAAAGAUGACCUUAUCAAAGCGCUGCAGGAGACGCUUUCUCAAGAGGCGGGGCUUUACGCAUCAACGUUGGCGGGCCUUCGGAUGCUGCCAAGGUGGCAGUCGAUGCCGUUGAUGGGCAAGCAGCGACGGAUAACGUACUGGCGGCGCUUCUCUUGUGGUUGGCGGGCAGACACAAGUGCAGCCAUGCGCAGGAGGAAGCAAUCAGCCGCGCCUUGGCUGCGUGUCAGGCGCCGCUCUCUCGCUCCCUGCGCAUGAGUUUCGACUGGAGUGCUGCACCUGGCGCCGCGCGUGCCAUGACACCCAUCGUGGCCACCGUGCAAGAAGAGGAAGCGGCACCGCAGUAUCUGUGCCUGUGUAGCAAGCACGGCGUGCAGCCCCCAGCCGCCUUGGUGGAACCAAGCAGCGGCACGGCGACAUCGCUGUUCCUCGUGGAUCCUGCUCGACUCGAGGCGAGCACGCAAACGUGCGCCGACGCCUGUCUGCGUAGCGGGAGCUUGUAUGGGAAGGAGAGGGAGUGAUCGCCUUGCCUCGAAGCCCCUCCCCCCACACACACACUCAUUCCCCAGAAGACUCGACACCUGUGUAGUCACCAACGUGAGGCGCCGC
rnacentral:misc_RNA from 1 species